AUUGAACGCUGGCGGCAGGCCUAACACAUGCAAGUCGAGCGGUAGCACAGAGAGCUUGCUCUCGGGUGACGAGCGGCGGACGGGUGAGUAAUGUCUGGGAAACUGCCUGAUGGAGGGGGAUAACUACUGGAAACGGUAGCUAAUACCGCAUAACGUCGCAAGACCAAAGUGGGGGACCUUCGGGCCUCAUGCCAUCAGAUGUGCCCAGAUGGGAUUAGCUAGUAGGUGGGGUAACGGCUCACCUAGGCGACGAUCCCUAGCUGGUCUGAGAGGAUGACCAGCCACACUGGAACUGAGACACGGUCCAGACUCCUACGGGAGGCAGCAGUGGGGAGUAUUGCACAAUGGGCGCAAGCCUGAUGCAGCCAUGCCGCGUGUGUGAAGAAGGCCUUCGGGUUGUAAAGCACUUUCAGCGGGGAGGAAGGCGAUAAGGUUAAUAACCUUGUCGAUUGACGUUACCCGCAGAAGAAGCACCGGCUAACUCCGUGCCAGCAGCCGCAGUAA
rnacentral:rRNA from 1 species